AACGAACGCUGGCGGCAGGCCUAACACAUGCAAGUCGAGCGCCCAGCAAUGGGAGCGGCAGACGGGUGAGUAACGCGUGGGAACCUUCCCAAUGGUACGGAAUAGCUCAGGGAAACUUGAGGUAAUACCGCAUAAGCCCGAAGGGAAGAUUAUCGCCAUUGGAGUGGGCCCGGCCGUAGGAUUAGCUAGUUGGUGAGGUAAUGGCUCACC
rnacentral:rRNA from 1 species